AGCAAUGGGGGCAGCUACACAUGCAGUCGAGCGGUAGCACAGAGAGCUUGCUCUCGGGUGACGAGCGGCGGACGGGUGAGUAAUGUCUGGGAAACUGCCUGAUGGAGGGGGAUAACUACUGGAAACGGUAGCUAAUACCGCAUAACGUCGCAAGACCAAAGUGGGGGACCUUCGGGCCUCAUGCCAUCAGAUGUGCCCAGAUGGGAUUAGCUAGUAGGUGGGGUAACGGCUCACCUAGGCGACGAUCCCUAGCUGGUCUGAGAGGAUGACCAGCCACACUGGAACUGAGACACGGUCCAGACUCCUACGGGAGGCAGCAGUGGGGAAUAUUGCACAAUGGGCGCAAGCCUGAUGCAGCCAUGCCGCGUGUGUGAAGAAGGCCUUCGGGUUGUAAAGCACUUUCAGCGGGGAGGAAGGCGUUAAGGUUAAUAACCUUGUCGAUUGACGUUACCCGCAGAAGAAGCACCGGCUAACUCCGUGCCAGCAGCCGCGGUAAUACGGAGGGUGCAAGCGUUAAUCGGAAUUACUGGGCGUAAAGCGCACGCAGGCGGUCUGUCAAGUCGGAUGUGAAAUCCCCGGGCUCAACCUGGGAACUGCAUUCGAAACUGGCAGGCUAGAGUCUUGUAGAGGGGGGUAGAAUUCCAGGUGUAGCGGUGAAAUGCGUAGAGAUCUGGAGGAAUACCGGUGGCGAAGGCGGCCCCCUGGACAAAGACUGACGCUCAGGUGCGAAAGCGUGGGGAGCAAACAGGAUUAGAUACCCUGGUAGUCCACGCCGUAAACGAUGUCGAUUUGGAGGUUGUGCCCUUGAGGAGUGGCUUCCGGAGCUAACGCGUUAAAUCGACCGCCUGGGGAGUACGGCCGCAAGGUUAAAACUCAAAUGAAUUGACGGGGGCCCGCACAAGCGGUGGAGCAUGUGGUUUAAUUCGAUGCAACGCGAAGAACCUUACCUGGUCUUGACAUCCACAGAACUUAGCAGAGAUGGUUUGGUGCCUUCGGGAACUGUGAGACAGGUGCUGCAUGGCUGUCGUCAGCUCGUGUUGUGAAAUGUUGGGUUAAGUCCCGCAACGAGCGCAACCCUUAUCCUUUGUUGCCAGCGGUUCGGCCGGGAACUCAAAGGAGACUGCCAGUGAUAAACUGGAGGAAGGUGGGGAUGACGUCAAGUCAUCAUGGCCCUUACGACCAGGGCUACACACGUGCUACAAUGGCAUAUACAAAGAGAAGCGACCUCGCGAGAGCAAGCGGACCUCAUAAAGUAUGUCGUAGUCCGGAUUGGAGUCUGCAACUCGACUCCAUGAAGUCGGAAUCGCUAGUAAUCGUAGAUCAGAAUGCUACGGUGAAUACGUUCCCGGGCCUUGUACACACCGCCCGUCACACCAUGGGAGUGGGUUGCAAAAGAAGUAGGUAGCUUAACCUUCGGGAGGGCGCUACCACUUGGAUUCUUGC
rnacentral:rRNA from 1 species